rnacentral:rRNA from 1 species
UUAAGAGACAACCUGGAGAACUGAAACAUCUAAGUAACCAGAGGAAAAGAAAUCAAUUGAGAUUCCGUUAGUAGUGGCGAGCGAACGCGGACUAGGCCAGUAAUUUUGUUAAAAAAAUUUGAAUAGUUUGGAAAUGCUAACCAUAGAGGGUGAUAGUCCCGUAUGAGUAAUGUUUAACAAAAUUCUUGAGUAAAGCGGGACACGAGAAAUCCUGCUCGAAUAUAGGGGGACCACCCUCUAAGCCUAAAUACUCUUCAGUGACCGAUAGUGAACUAGUACCGUGAGGGAAAGGUGAAAAGAACCCCUAUUAGGGGAGUGAAAUAGAACCUGAAACUGCAUGCCUACAAUCAGUCGAAGCUCUUUUUAGAGUGACGGCGUACCUUUUGUAUAAUGGGUCAGUGACUUAAUUUAUAAAGCAAGCUUAAGCCAUCUAGGUGUAGGCGCAGCGAAAGCAAGUCUUAAUAGGGCGAUUAGUUUUAUGAAUUAGACCCGAAAACGAAUGAGCUUACCAUGAGCAGGUUGAAAGUUGGGUAACACCAACCGGAGGACCGAACCAGUUGACGUUGAAAAGUCUUUGGAUGACUUGUGGUAAGGGGUGAAAGGCCAACCAAAUUCGUAGAUAGCUGGUUUUCCGCGAAAACUAUUUAGGUAGUGCGUUGAAUAAAUAGAUGUUUAGAGGUAGAGCACUAAAUGGGCUAGGGGGAAGAGAUUCUUACCAAA